rnacentral:rRNA from 1 species
CGGAGGAUCCAAGCGUUAUCCGGAAUCAUUGGGUUUAAAGGGUCCGUAGCGGGUUUAUAAGUCAGUGGUGAAAGCCCAUCGCUCAACGAUGGAACGGCCAUUGAUACUGUAGAUCUUGAAUUAUUAGGAGGUAACUAGAAUAUGUAGUGUAGCGGUGAAAUGCUUAGAGAUUACAUGGAAUACCAAUUGCGAAGGCAGGUUACUACUAAUGGAUUGACGCUGAUGGACGAAAGCGUGGGUAGCGAACAGGAUUAGAUACCCUGGUAGUCCACGCCGUAAACGGUGGAUACUAGCUGUUCGGAGCAAUCUGAGUGGCUAAGCGAAAGUGAUAAGUAUCCCACCUGGGGAGUACGUUCGCAAGAAUG